ACCUGGUGGGCUCAGUCAGUAGAGCAUGCGGCUCCUGAUCGCAGGGUGGUGAGUUCAAGGCCCACGUUGGGUG
rnacentral:tRNA from 1 species